ensembl:lncRNA
AAUGUGUGCGGCAGGCCCACGGGACUGGGUGCACAGGGGGACUCAACAGUGUGACUUCCUUUCCACAACAUCAGCGCCAGGUGGGACCCGCCUGCCCUUCAGACCCAGAGACGAUCUCAUCUGCCCAACUGCCCAGAGCCAAGAACACCCAGGACUGAUCUCCUUCAGAAUGGACUGGUUGGAUCUUCUUGCAGUCCAUGGGGCUCUCAAGAGUCUUCUCCAGCACCACAGUUCAAAAGCAUCAAUUCUUCAGCGCUCAGCUUUCUUCACAGACACCGCUGAAUCACCCUGUGGGCCUGAGAUCACCUAAACAGAUCUGAUGUGACUCAGAAAGCAAAGGAGUCUCACCUGUAGCCCUCAGCGUCCUGUUCCUGUCCACACUGGCAGUGCUCAUGCCUGCUAAACAGCAGUCUCCCUGGGGACGCCUCUCACCUGCUGCCCUGCACUGGUACCUCUGUUUUCUGGAGCCCAUGUCUUAACUCUUUCUUGGUUUUCUCCUUUAGUCCUUUCCUAG